rnacentral:rRNA from 1 species
AUUGAACGCUGGCGGCAGGCCUAACACAUGCAAGUCGAGCGGAUGAAGGGAGCUUGCUCCUGGAUUCAGCGGCGGACGGGUGAGUAAUGCCUAGGAAUCUGCCUGGUAGUGGGGGAUAACGUCCGGAAACGGGCGCUAAUACCGCAUACGUCCUGAGGGAGAAAGUGGGGGAUCUUCGGACCUCACGCUAUCAGAUGAGCCUAGGUCGGAUUAGCUAGUUGGUGGGUUAAAGGCCUACCAAGGCGACGAUCCGUAACUGGUCUGAGAGGAUGAUCAGUCACACUGGAAGUGAGACACGGUCCAGACGCCUACGGGAGGCAGCAGUGGGGAAUAUUGGACGAUGGGGGAAAGCCUGAUCCAGCCAUGGCGCGUGUGUGAAGAAGGUCUUCGGAUUGUAAAGCACUUUAAGUUGGGAGGAAGGGCAGUAAGUUAAUACCUUGCUGUUUUGACGUUACCAACAGAAUAAGCACCGGCUAACUUCGUG